UACGUAGGUGGCAAGCGUUGUCCGGAAUCACUGGGCGUAAAGCGCGCGCAGGCGGCGAUCUACGUCUGGGGUGAAAGCCCGGAGCUCAACUCCGGGACUGCCUUGGAUACGGGAUCGCUUGAGGAUUGGAGAGGCAAGGGGAAUUCCACGUGUAGCGGUGAAAUGCGUAGAGAUGUGGAGGAAUACCAAAGGCGAAGGCAGUGUCCUGGAGGGUUAACUGACGCUGAGGCGCGAAAGCUAGGGGAGCGAACAGG
rnacentral:rRNA from 1 species